UACGAAGGGGGCUAGCGUUGUUCGGAUUUACUGGGCGUAAAGCGCACGUAGGUGGGUCGUUAAGUCGGGGGUGAAAUCCUGGAGCUCAACUCCAGAACUGCCUUCGAUACUGGCGAUCUUGGAGUCCGGGAGAGGUGAGUGGAACUGCGAGUGUAGAGGUGAAAUUCGUAGAUAUUCGCAAGAACACCAGUGGCGAAGGCGGCUCACUGGCCCGGUACUGACACUGAGGUGCGAAAGCGUGGGGAGCAAACAGG
rnacentral:rRNA from 1 species